rnacentral:lncRNA from 1 species
CUGACUGAUAGUGAGUGAAUAAAUUCAGCCUAUUCUUGAUGACAUUACCAUCAGAAAAAAACCACAUCUCUUUAGAUAGUGUCUUGAUAAAAAGCUCAGGCUGGACAAAGCUUGAGAUUCUUCGGUAUCAACCUACUGAAAGACUGAGAUUACAGGCAAGCACUGCCAGAUACGCUUCUUCCUGCAGGCUUAUACACCUACCUGGC